CAUCAAAAUAUCGUCGCUAAUUCCAUUUUUAUAUACACGCCAACUAUGCUCGCCUGGAAUCAAUUUUUUUUUUUUUUGCCGUUUUUUAAAUACAAACCCCUAAAAUAAAACCCUCACCGCCUCUUGCGCUCUCAAUUUUCUCCUUCAGUGUCGCACCUCUCUCUCUCUCCCUCUAAGGUUUUUCCCCCUCGCCUCCUCUCUCCCUCUAACUCCCUCAAUGCAAGCUUCCACUCAACCUCUCCCUUAGAUCUCACUCUCUCCUCCAGUUUCUUUCGCACUCAAAGAUAUCUCUCUCAGAUCGGUCCUUAGUGACCGAUUCUAAGCUAAAUCUCUAUCUCUGUGGCUCUUCUCUUUUUCUCACAGAUUUUGAGACAAUAAAUUAUCACCUUGAAGGCUGGACUCGUCGAGUGUGAGCUCGAGAUAUAUAAAAAUGCGUGUUCAUGGUACACCUAUAAAACCCUCGAAGCAAGACGGCAACCUCAAAGACAUGUAGCCUCGGGAUUCUUUCUGAGCUCGAAAGAACAUAGCACCGGGAUACAUCUGAUAUCGUGUGUCUUCGGAUCGAGUAGCCCGAGUAUAAAGAGUGCAAGCUCGAAAUAUGACAGCCUCGACGGUAUUUAUCUGCCCCGAACAGGUCUUGGAGUAGGACGGUCAGUUCAUAACCUAUCUAUAAACCUUGACUGAUGCGAUGCUGAUUGCUGAUCUUGGAGAUUUGAUGAAUCAUCUGAUGUAACACGUUUUGUACAUUUAAAGAUAUUUAUUGUUGUAACGUCCCGACAUUAAAGGGAUAUUAACAAGUAUGUUAUCCGUUUUCCUGGUCUUCAUGGGACGUUUCCUUGUAUAUAGGAGUUACAACAUUUAAUAUCAUUAUUUCAAUUAAUAAGAAUGAGUAUCUUCUCGAAGUAUGUGGGAAUGAACUCUGGAAACUCUCUAUAAAUAGAGAGGUCAUGAACACUUAAAAGAGGACGGAUCUUUUGCUAUCUAGAGAGAAAACUCCAAGUUCUAAUAAAAUAGAGUCGUGGA